rnacentral:lncRNA from 1 species
ACCACGCUCACUAAGCAGUGCAUGUGACCAAGCCAAAGUACAUUAGUGUUUGAUCAUUAUGACAUUUUGUUUAUUUUUUUAGGUCAAGUAUGAAAAAAAGAAAAAAAACACAAUAAAAGCUAUAGGGCAGGAAGUGUAGUUUAGUGAUGGAGAGCUUGCCUUGUGUGUAAGGCUAUAGGCUUAGUCACUAGCUCUGCAAAAAACAAGUUAAAGAAUGAAUCAGGUAAAAGCUAUAGAAUUAGAUUCAUGUUCAAUAGAGAAUGAAUGCUAAGUAAGGAAGAAAAAGCACACCCUGUCCAGGUUGCUCUAGAAUCUUAUCUCACAUUCUGGAGGAAAAGCAAGCUGCUGGCUGCAUGCUGCAGGGUUAUAAGCACUGUGUUCUGAAUCACCGUAGUUAAGUAUCCAAGGCAGGGGCAUUCUGCUGAGAAAAUGGCAGUUAAGGAAAUUUUUUUGUUGGUGGUGGUUUUUUGAAAGCUAUCAUAGUUAAUGAUAAUUCUGGUACUAAUUUUUAUUGUCUGUAGUUAUUGAGAAGAUAGGAAUGUAUUUUAUAAAACAAUAUUAGAAAGAUUAGUUUGUAACUUUUGUUAUUACUUUCCUGAGAUGGAAUGUGUAGCUAGCUAUCAUCAGGAAGCCUUGGUUUUAGCCAGGUGUGGUGGUUCAUGCCUGCGAUCCCAGCACUACGAACCAUAACGAUUUUGAGUACAGUCAUUGUAGGGCACACACAAAAGCAGAAGACCCUGUCUCAAAAAAAAAAAAAAAAAAAAAAGCCACACAUAUAUGUACACACACCAAAGAAAUCUUGUUUUUAACUGUUUUUCUGUACCCUGAGUUUUUGUUUAAAAAAAAAAAAAGUGUGUGUGUGUGUGUGUGUGUGUGUGUGUUCAUUCUCCAGAGCACAUGAGAACAGAAGUUAGAAUUUGGCAUCAAUUGUUUUCCUUUGUCAACCCCAUUCCCUUUAUGUUUUUAGACAGUCUGUCAAUGAAUGUGGACCUCUCUUGAUUCUCCUAGGCUAGCUGGCUAGGAAGCCCUGGUGGCUGACCUUCCUUUCCCUGUCCUCCCCUAAGAUAGCUCCUACACUUGACUGUUAAAUGGAUGCUGGCUAUCAAACUAGGGUCCCUCAUGCUUAACACAGGAAAUACCCACUGAACUAUACCUACCCUCAAAAAUGUGGAAGAAAGAGCACGUCUUAUAGAAAGAUCCUAAAUUUCUGAAUAAAUCAAAUGAUUUGUAUACAAACAUUCCUGUAUAAAAUUAUUCUCUAGCAGCCUAAUUUUCAUGUCUGAAAAGCACCUCAAAAAGGCUUGGGACUCAUUUUUGUCUACACCAGAGGCAGCAGCAAUCCCUCCCUCAGUUGCUACUGAAAUAUUUGUCAGUACGGGCCUUUUUAAAAAUAAUAUUCUGCUUAUGAGUGUUUUGCCUGCAUGUGUGUUUACCAUGUGCAUGCAGUGCCGUUAAAGGCCAGAAACAGGGCGGUGGGUGUCACUCAGGUACUGGGCAUUGAACCUGAGUCUUCUGGAAGAGCAAUCAUCUCUCCAGCCUCACUGUAGACCAUUUAUGGCUUCAAAGCUUUGGUGAAUAGACUGUCAUUGGCCACAGGUCUAGUCAUGAUAAUUUUUAUGUUAUCUUUUAUAACAAAGAUAAUAUAGAAAAUCCCAACUUAAUAUUUAAACAAAAUUUGUUCUGUUUUUCUCAGUGCUGGUAAUCAGACUCAUGACCUUGUAAAUGCUAACCAACAUUUCUCUCAGAUCCACCUACCUGCCUCUUCCUCCCAGCUGCUGGCAUUAAAGACAUUAAAGACAUGUGCUACCAUACCGAGAUUAUUGAUUAUAUACAUAUGAGGGUCUUCUUUUUUUCCUUCAUUUAUUUUUAUUUUAUGUGUAUGGGUGCUUUACCUGCAUGUAUGACUGUGUACCACCUGGAUACAAUGCCUCUGGAGGACAGGUCCCCUGAGGCUGGAUUACAUAACUGGUUGUGAGCUGCCAUGUGGGUGCUAGGAAAUGAAAUGAACUCUGGUCCUGGAAGAGCAGUAAGUCAUAAAUGGGAAAAGGCUCUAAGAUUGCUUUAUAUCAUUUAAAGACCCAACUUACAAGCAACUCUUCAUCUAUGAGAGAGGAACAUUCAUUCCAAGGUAGGAAGCAAGCAGAGGAAAGACUAGGAUGUUUAGGAGUUUAUAAAUCUGUGUUGACACUUUGGCAAGCAGAAGUAGGUUUGGGAGAGAAAUGUCUCACCCACACAUUUAUAAAUUUGUGUGAGAGAAGAUGGUAUUAAAUGUUGUGACCUUAGUCACUGUGUUUUUAUUUGUUUGUUGUUGCUUUGGAUUUUGUUUUGUUUUGUUUUUAUGGAAGGUAAUAACUUCAUGCUGAUUUCAUAAAUUUUUUUUGAAAGGAAAGGAGUUUGUGAUAUUUGGACCUUAAUACCACUUUUCCCGAAUUUCAGAUGUCAUCUAACACCCAUGUUUACAAUUUAUGUGUUUAUGUGAUAUACAUGAUAUCAGUCAGGAAAGACAUUUAUAAUUUGUAUAUUUAUAUAUAAUUUAUAUUAUAAUUUGUGUAUAUUUCCUUUAUGUUAAUAUUGAAAUUUAGAAAGCUUUUCUUUCUGAGUGAUCUUGGUAACACAGCAUUGGAUGUCCGCUGCCUUAAAGACAAUCUGUGUUACUCAUAGUUUGGAUUCCCCACUUCAUGAUAGCUUAGUUUUAAGCCGCGAUGAAAAGAGUUGUGUGAUAAAGAUGACAUUAGAAUAGUUGCUUUUAGUGCCCUCUUUCUUUAGGCCUGGAGUUUUACACUGUGAAAACUAUGAUUUCAAACUUUUUUUUUAUACUCAUGCCUGUAUGAGAGAUUUUAAGUCACUUUUACAACAUUUUAAUAUUUGACAUAUCUCAAAUCCUAUCAAAUUUUUUGUUCAGGUGUAAGGGUUUUUGGUUUGUGUAGUCACUGAUUUUUUUUAAUUUUCAUUUGUUAAAAUCCAGUGUUUAUUGUUUAAAAUUCACAUAAGAGGAAAUCAGAUUAGACAUGAAAAUCCUCUGACCAGGAUUUGACUUUUUUCUCUAAGGCUAAAGCUGCAGAGAAGAUUCUUAAAGUUCUGCUUUUGCCAUUAUUACUGUUUGUGUUUAUUCUGUCCAGUGACAUAACAGCUUGAAGCAUGCAUGAAGCACUGAGCACAGUUCAGAUUCAGACCAAAUCAUUACCCAGGGCUCUGUUUUGCACAACCAGGAAAGGUCUGAAGAGCAGAGGCAUGAAAACGAAGUGCAUUGGUUAAGUUCCUCAAGUUUUGUUUUGAACUAUCUAAACUUAGUUUUGGGGAGAAAUUAUUUGCCUUCUACCAGAAGUCCCAAUUUCUCAGUAUUUAGAUUUGUAUAUCUGUCCAUACUCAUGGUGUAUUAUCUUACUGAGAAAGAUGGCAUAGUUGAUCUCUGAGAUUAUAAAAGGAGCUCUAAUGUUUUAUGAGCUGUUACCAACCCUGUAUUAAAAUACCAUGAGUCUAGGAAGACCUCUACAAGGCUUUUUCAAAACAAAAUUCAUCUCUUCAUAAAUAUCUUAUGAAAGAAAAUUUAGAGCCCUCUUUAAAGAAGCUUUCUUGCUUUCUAUAAAACUCUUAAAAUUUUAAUUUCAAAGUUAUAUUGAUAUUAAAACAUAAAUUCAGUCUUGUCUUAAAAGUGUAUUACAAUUUAUUUCUUGCCAUUUUUGUGUAAAAUUUGCAGAAACAGUGUUACACCGUGCGCUCCAAAGGUAAUGUCUCAUUACUCUAAGGCUCUCUUUCUCUCUCUCUUUCUCUUUCUCUCUCUGCCUUUGUUUCUUUAAUCCUAAUGUUACAUGUAUUGAAACAUCUU